rnacentral:rRNA from 1 species
AGACGUCUACUAUUAGACUACCCGUGUACGUCCCAGCCGUAAACUAUGCUCGCUAGGUGUCAGGCAUGGCGCGACCGUGUCUGGUGCCGCGAGGGAAGCCGUGAAGCGAGCCCACCGUGGGAAAGGUACCGGCCGACGAAAGGCUAGAAACGUUAAAGGAAUUGGCGGGGAGCACAACAACGGGUGGAGCCUGCGGUUUAAUUGGACUCAACGCCGGACAACUCACCGGGGACGACAGCAAUAUGUAGGCCAGGCUGAAGACCUUGCCUGAAUCGCUG